rnacentral:rRNA from 1 species
UACGAAGGGGGCUAGCGUUGCUCGGAAUGACUGGGCGUAAAGGGCGCGUAGGCGGUUCAUACAGUCAGAUGUGAAAUUCCCGGGCUUAACCUGGGGGCUGCAUUUGAUACGUGUGGGCUUGAGUGAGGAAGAGGGUUGUGGAAUUCCCGGUGUAGAGGUGAAAUUCGUAGAUAUCGGGAGGAACACCAGUGGCGAAGGCGGCGAUCUGGGUCGAUACUGACGCUGAGGUGCGAAAAGCGUGGGGAGCAAACAGG